GAUGAAGAACGCAGCGAAAUGCGAUAAGUAAUGUGAAUUGCAGAAUUCAGUGAAUCAUCGAAUCUUUGAACGCACAUUGCGCCCCUUGGUAUUCCGAGGGGCAUGCCUGUUCGAGCGUCAUUAUAACCCCUCAAGCUUAGCUUGGUGUUGGGGCUUGCUGUAAUAGAGCAGCCCUUAAAAUCAGUGGCGGUGCCAUUAGGCUCUAAGCGUAGUAAUUCUUCUCGCUAUAGGGUUCUGGUGGAUGCUUGCCAUUAACCUCUAAUUUUCUAUGGUUGACCUCGGAUCAGGUAGGGAUACCCGCUGAACUUAAGCAUAUCAAUAAGCGGAGGA
rnacentral:misc_RNA from 1 species